GUGACGUGCUUCCGCUUUGAUUUAUACCGGCACUCUUAUUUCCUGUUUGCAUUUUUAGCAGUGAGUACCACAGGAUGUGGAGUUUAUAGAGAACGCAAAUGCAAUAUUAUAUUGGACGCUGACGACGGGUGGCAGCACUGAGCUGUGACUGAAGUGAGGAUGGACGGAAGUGAUGACGGAUCUGGCAGUGAGCCAGACUCGUUUGGUUGCAGGAGCGGGAAUAGGGCCGGUGAGGGAGGAGAAUGGCAGGUUGUGUGGUCUAAGAAGAGCAGAUGUUUAUCUGAGGAUAGAGAUUCUAGCAGCAGUGGAGUGCGUGGAGAGACUGUGAAGCGUCUUAAGGAGGAAUACCUCAUUUUGAUCCAGUUUGAAUCUGAAUCUGCUGGCGUGCUGAAUCCGGUCAGGUUGACUUCUGAAAUCAAAUCAGCUCUAGGGGAUGUGGCCGGAGCUAAGGUGUUGAGAGGAGUAGGUGGCGGUAAUGCACCUUCAGUUGGUCUGCCAUCCGCCAUAAACCUGAAAGAAGAAGAAGAAGAAGAAGAAUAUUAUAUUGGAAGGUAGCAUGUGCUUCUACAUGGGGAUCUGCCCUAUUUUACACAGAUUCUAAAAGCGGCGUAAGAUGCAUGCUUCACGAUGAAUCUCACCAGCUCAGAGUUCCAGCGCUCAGAUUUAAAUACAUGGCGGACGGAGCCGGCACUGCGGGGAGUUUCUGAACAAAUGUAAAGGCGGUGUUACCACAACCAGCUGACCAACCCUUUCAUGACCACAGGCCAGGCGACAGGAUGCUGAUCUGAGAUCUCCGCAGACGAAGGUGGAACCAGCCGAAGUGGAUGGGACCCCACCAGGUUCUCCUAGUAACCCACACAGCCAUAAAUGUGGAAGGACGAGGAACGUGGGAACACCACACUCACUGCAAGAAGGCACCGACUACACCUGAAGAAAAAGCAGCUUAGCAGAUGAUGGAGAGGAUCAACCCCAAAAGACUGGUGAUGGUGGCACUGGCUACAAGGGGCAGCUCUGACGGUCUUGAUAAAGGUUACUUCAGACAUCUAAUAAAGAACAUUUUUUUUCCCAUUUAACAGCCCACACAUUAGGUGUAAACAAUACAUAGACACAUAUGAUGACAGUUAAUGAGACCUGUCUUAAAAAUGCUAAUGGGGAUUCUAGUAUUUAAGGAUGAAGAACGAGGAGCUGAUUCAGAAUCAGAAUUGCCUUUAUUGUCACAUGGUCACAAGUACCAGUGAAAUUAGCCAUCAAGGGGGAAACAGGACAGGACAGGAAGACAGGGUAAGCCGCAGCGUGUGCACUCGCAGCCAUCAUUUCUUCAGUUAGAGGGAUACAAGGGGAAAGAAGAGGGUAAAAAAAAAACCUAGACUGUGCCCUAAAGAGCACAGUGUAGGAACAUCAAAAAACCUCAGCACAUAGGCACAUACAAUAUACACAAAAGACCAAGCAAUGAAGGUGUGGG